AUAUCUUUCUUGGCCUUUUGGCUAAGACCAAGUGUAGUAUCUCUUUUAUCAGUUUAAUAUCUUAAUAUCUUAAUAUCUGAUACGUGGGCCAUCGGACCACUUGAUAUUAAUCUUUUUUUUUAUGAAAAAAAGCCCAUCAUAAUAGCUUGCUAUUGGGGCCUUUGAGUGUUGUCUUGGUAUUGCACUACUACCUUGGCCUGACACAUCCCUC
rnacentral:snRNA from 1 species